UACAGAGGGGGCAAGCGUUGUUCGGAAUUACUGGGCGUAAAGGGCGCGUAGGCGGCCUUCUAAGUCGAACGUGAAAUCCCCGGGCUCAACCCGGGAACUGCGUCCGAUACUGGAAGGCUUGAAUCCAGGAGAGGGAUGCGGAAUUCCAGGUGUAGCGGUGAAAUGCGUAGAUAUCUGGAGGAACACCGGUGGCGAAGGCGGCGUCCUGGACCGGUAUUGACGCUGAGGCGCGAAAGCCAGGGGAGCAAACGGG
rnacentral:rRNA from 1 species